UACGAAGGGGGCUAGCGUUGUUCGGAAUUACUGGGCGUAAAGCGCACGUAGGCGGAUCGAUCAGUCAGGGGUGAAAUCCCAGGGCUCAACCCUGGAACUGCCUUUGAUACUGUCGAUCUGGAGUAUGGAAGAGGUGAGUGGAAUUCCGAGUGUAGAGGUGAAAUUCGUAGAUAUUCGAAGGAACACCAGUGGCGAAGGCGGCUCACUGGUCCAUUACUGACGCUGAGGUGCGAAAGCGUGGGGAGCAAACAGG
rnacentral:rRNA from 1 species